rnacentral:rRNA from 1 species
CAGCAGCCACGGGAACACGGAGGAUCCAAGCGUUAUCCGGAAUCAUUGGGUUUAAAGGGUCCGUAGGCGGUCUUGUAAGUCAGUGGUGAAAGCCCAUCGCUCAACGGUGGAACGGCCAUUGAUACUGCAGGACUUGAAUUAUUGGGAAGUAACUAGAAUAUGUAGUGUAGCGGUGAAAUGCUUAGAGAUUACAUGGAAUACCAAUUGCGAAGGCAGGUUACUACCAAUUGAUUGACACUGAUGGACGAAAGCGUGGGUAGCGAACAGGAUUAGAUACCCGCGUAGUCCCUGUCUCUUAUAC